GACGAACGCUGGCGGCGUGCUUAACACAUGCAAGUCGAACGGUAAGACCCUUCGGGGUACACGAGUGGCGAACGGGUGAGUAACACGUGGGUGAUCUGCCCUGCACUUCGGGAUAAGCCUGGGAAACUGGGUCUAAUACCGGAUAGGACCACUGCCUGCAUGGGUGGGGGUGGAAAGCUUUUGCGGGGUGGGAUGGGCCCGCGGCCUAUCAGCUUGUUGGUGGGGUGAUGGCCUACCAAGGCGACGACGGGUAGCCGGCCUGAGAGGGUGACCGGCCACACUGGGACUGAGAUACGGCCCAGACUCCUACGGGAGGCAGCAGUGGGGAAUAUUGCACAAUGGGCGCAAGCCUGAUGCAGCGACGCCGCGUGAGGGAUGACGGCCUUCGGGUUGUAAACCUCUUUCAGCACCGACGAAGCGCAAGUGACGGUAGGUGCAGAAGAAGGACCGGCCAACUACGUGCCAGCCGCCGCGGUAA
rnacentral:rRNA from 1 species